AUUGAACGCUGGCGGCAUGCCUUACACAUGCAAGUCGAACGGUAACAGGUUAAGCUGACGAGUGGCGAACGGGUGAGUAAUGUAUCGGAACGUGCCCAGUCGUGGGGGAUAACUACUCGAAAGAGUGGCUAAUACCGCAUACGACCUGAGGGUGAAAGCGGGGGACCGUAAGGCCUCGCGCGAUUGGAGCGGCCGAUCUCAGAUUAGCUAGUUGGUGGGGUAAAAGCCCACCAAGGCGACGAUCUGUAGCUGGGCUGAGAGGACGACCAGCCACACUGGGACUGAGGCACGGCCCAGACUCCUACGGGAGGCAGCAGUGGGGAAGUUUGGACAAUGGACGCAAGUCUGAUCCAGCCAUGCCGCGUGCGGGAAGAAGGCCUUCGGGUUGUAAACCGCUUUUGUCAGGGAAGAAACGAGUUUCUCUAAUACAGAGACUUAAUGACGGUACCUGAAGAAUAAGCACCGGCUAACUACGUGCCAGCAGCCGCCGCGGUAA
rnacentral:rRNA from 1 species